rnacentral:rRNA from 1 species
GGCAAGCGUUAUCCGGAUUUACUGGGUGUAAAGGGAGCGUAGACGGUUAUGUAAGUCUGGAGUGAAAGCCCGGGGCCCAACCCCGGGACUGCUUUGGAAACUGUGUAACUGGAGUACAGGAGGGGCAGGCGGAAUUCCUGGUGUAGCGGUGAAAUGCGUAGAUAUCAGGAGGAACACCAGUGGCGAAGGCGGCUUGCUGGACGAUGACUGACGUUGAGGCUCGAAAGCGUGGGGAGCAAACAGG